AAAAGUCAGUUGUGUUGCCAGCUGUCGUCGCGUGUGGUUGUGUUUGUGUCGUUGUGUCUUCCCUCGGUGGCCAAAAGGCAAAAAGGUUCACGUGCCGUCGCGGAUUUCGACGAGAGAGAGCGGAAGAUUUCCACAUCACAUCGCACCACACUCCUCAACCAGUUAUUUCGAGCAACACUUCUCCACCAUAUGUGAGCCCAGCCAGCAUAAAAAUCGAUUCCAUUUGAGUGACAACCUUGAAAAAAAGAAGGAAAAAGAUCCAGGCUUGCUGCGAUUUUGUUUGCGUUGUUUUUUGUUUUUGGAAAGUGGUUCCAGACGACGACGGAACAGUGUUCCGGGUUCCCGAUUGCAAGCGCACCGAAAAAUUGUGGCCAAAUUGAGCAAACAAGAUGAGUGAAGUGGUGCCGAGCUGCGGACAGAAGAAAUCUGCUUACGAAAUUCGCGAAAAGACUGCGUUUACGUCAUGCUUGUACGCCCUUAUCAGUCGCUAAAUGUGGCCCCACGGAAAGGUGUCCGCGCAGUAGAAGCAGAAUCGGAAGAAGAAGAAGCACAGUGGAACCGCUUUUUGCCGUGUUUCCUGUAAAUAAUUUCGCACACACGCACCCAAGAAGAUGUACAUAGUCGAGCUUGAAGUUUCCUUUCUUUUCUAACAAAAAAUACGCGAUUAAAAACUCGACGGAAAUUGCGCACCCAAUUUCGUCGCGAAUCGCCCUAAUAAUAAUAGUAAUAAUAUAAAAAAAAAACCCACUUCCGGGUGUCGAGGGACAAUCGGUCAAAAUUGCGCCUCAAGCAAGUUCCGCCAAGGACGACGCAGCAGCAGAUCAGGGGAAGAUGGCCACGGCACUGAAGGGAGGAGGCGGAGCGGCGGCAGGAACGGCGGCGGCGGCCGCAGGUGGGGCCAAGGGCAAGUUUGCCUGGCUGGCCCACGUCAAGUACGAGCACCUGAUGGCGGGAGUGUCCGGCGGAGUGACGUCCACGCUGCUGCUGCACCCGCUGGAUUUGAUCAAGAUUCGGUUCGCAGUUAAUGAUGGCAGAACGGCAGCCGUACCCCAGUAUCGCGGCCUGACCGGUGCAUUCCUCACCAUCUUCCGCCAGGAGGGCUUCCGGGGGCUGUACAAGGGCGUCACGCCCAAUAUCUGGGGCUCGGGCAGCGCCUGGGGAUUCUACUUUUUGUUCUACAACACAAUCAAAACGUGGAUCCAGGACGGGAACUCGGCCCAGCCGCUAGGACCGGCGCUGCACAUGUUGGCCGCGGCCGAAGCCGGCGUCCUGACGCUGGCCAUGACGAACCCCAUUUGGGUGGUGAAGACGCGGCUGUGCCUGCAGUGCUCGGAACGGCCGUCGGCCCACAGCUACGCCGGCAUGGUGGACGGGCUGAAGAAGAUCUACCGGACGGAGGGCGUGCGCGGGUUGUACAGUGGUUUCGUCCCCGGCAUGCUGGGCGUGUCCCACGGCGCGCUGCAGUUCAUGACGUACGAGGAGAUGAAGAACCGGUACAACCAGAACCGGAAGCGGCCCAUCGACGCCAAGCUGACCACCGUAGAGUAUUUGACGUUCGCGGCCGUGUCGAAGCUGAUUGCGGCGGCCGCCACCUACCCGUACCAGGUGAUUCGGGCCCGCCUCCAGGACCACAACCACCGCUACAAGGGCACCUGGGACUGCGUGAAGCUGACUUGGAGGUACGAACGAGUGUCUGGGUUUUACAAGGGGCUCGCGCCGUACCUGGUGCACGUGACGCCCAACAUUUGUCUCGUCAUGUUGAUCUAUGAGCAGUUUACAAAGCACUGAAAUCGAUGGGCGCCCUCCAACCGCCCCGUCCCGGAUCAAUCAAUCGCCUCUCAACCCCCCGUCUUAAGUACGAAUCGUGGCGCGGCUUCUAUAAAGGGCUCGGUCCGAACUUGUUGCGCGUGACGCCGGCGACGAUGGUUACGUUUGUGACGUACGAAAAUGUGUCGCGCUAUCUGUUGGACU
rnacentral:misc_RNA from 1 species